CCUACCAUGCAGUCGAGCGGUAGCACAGAGAGCUUGCUCUCGGGUGACGAGCGGCGGACGGGUGAGUAAUGUCUGGGAAACUGCCUGAUGGAGGGGGAUAACUACUGGAAACGGUAGCUAAUACCGCAUAACGUCGCAAGACCAAAGUGGGGGACCUUCGGGCCUCAUGCCAUCAGAUGUGCCCAGAUGGGAUUAGCUAGUAGGUGGGGUAACGGCUCACCUAGGCGACGAUCCCUAGCUGGUCUGAGAGGAUGACCAGCCACACUGGAACUGAGACACGGUCCAGACUCCUACGGGAGGCAGCAGUGGGGAAUAUUGCACAAUGGGCGCAAGCCUGAUGCAGCCAUGCCGCGUGUAUGAAGAAGGCCUUCGGGUUGUAAAGUACUUUCAGCGGGGAGGAAGGCGAUAAGGUUAAUAACCUUGUCGAUUGACGUUACCCGCAGAAGAAGCACCGGCUAACUCCGUGCCAGCAGCCGCGGUAAUACGGAGGGUGCAAGCGUUAAUCGGAAUUACUGGGCGUAAAGCGCACGCAGGCGGUCUGUCAAGUCGGAUGUGAAAUCCCCGGGCUCAACCUGGGAACUGCAUUCGAAACUGGCAGGCUAGAGUCUUGUAGAGGGGGGUAGAAUUCCAGGUGUAGCGGUGAAAUGCGUAGAGAUCUGGAGGAAUACCGGUGGCGAAGGCGGCCCCCUGGACAAAGACUGACGCUCAGGUGCGAAAGCGUGGGGAGCAAACAGGAUUAGAUACCCUGGUAGUCCACGCCGUAAACGAUGUCGAUUUGGAGGUUGUGCCCUUGAGGCGUGGCUUCCGGAGCUAACGCGUUAAAUCGACCGCCUGGGGAGUACGGCCGCAAGGUUAAAACUCAAAUGAAUUGACGGGGGCCCGCACAAGCGGUGGAGCAUGUGGUUUAAUUCGAUGCAACGCGAAGAACCUUACCUGGUCUUGACUUCCACAGAACUUACCAGAGAUGCUUUGGUGCCUUCGGGAACUGUGAA
rnacentral:rRNA from 1 species